AGCUCUUGGUGUAUUUACAUCCACAGCAGGUGUUAUAAAAUAUAAAAGAGAAUACACAACAAUUGAAAUUCCUUUCACAUUCAAUGACAACAAGUUUGCGAGUGUAGUUUGGUAUUAUAAGAAACGAGGCUCUUCUGGGAGUUUGAUCACGAUCUAUGACGUCAACCCUCAGGGUGAAACCACUACAGUUGAUUCAAACCAGUUCACAGGCCGAAUUGAGUUCAAAGGGGACUUUGCAAAUGCAAACCGAGAUGCUACACUGGCCAUUGAGAAUUUUAUGAAACAAGAUGAAGGAAAUUUUACCUGUGAAGUGAGAGCUGCUCGGAUCCGUAAACAGACAGUCACAAUCAGAGUGAUAGGUAGUAUUAUAAAAGAUGCUUUGUUUCAUUGAUUGUAGGCCUACUACAGUAAAACCCCGCGUAUAAGAACCUAGAUUUUUUAAGUUAACCUAAACAGGUUCUUAUAUAAAUGGUGUUUAUCGC